UAGGUAGACGCCAUCAAACGAUGCAAACAGAGCAAAAACCAAGCCGGCCAGAAGCCAGUCACAAAGUACGCCAGCGAGCGACGGACGCUACGCAGCACGCAAAAGACGGAGCCAGCCUACGCUGGUCACGAAGCAGAGCAAACCGCAGGCUGCGGUAGUGCAGCCUGCGCUAGGAGCGCUCGGCCAUGGCCUUGCUACUUCCUAAUGAUCCUUCCGCAGGUUCACCUACGGAAA
rnacentral:misc_RNA from 1 species